rnacentral:rRNA from 1 species
UACGAAGGGGGGCUAGCGUUGUUCGGAAUUACUGGGCGUAAAGCGUGCGCAGGCGGCUAUCCAAGUCAGUGGUGAAAGCCCGGAGCUCAACUCCGGAACUGCCAUUGAAACUGUUUAGCUCGAGUACGAGAGAGGUGAGUGGAAUUCCCAGUGUAGAGGUGAAAUUCGUAGAUAUCGGGAGGAACACCUGUGGCGAAAGCGGCUCACUGGACCGCAACUGACGCUGAGGCGCGAAAGCGUGGGGAGCAAACAGGG